rnacentral:rRNA from 1 species
GAGGUGCUUGCACCUUAUCUUAGCGGCGGACGGGUGAGUAAUGCUUAGGAAUCUGCCUAUUAGUGGGGGACAACAUUCCGAAAGGAAUGCCAAUACCGCAUACGUCCUACGGGAGAAAGCAGGGGAUCUUCGGACCUUGCGCUAAUAGAUGAGCCUAAGUCGGAUUAGCUAGUUGGUGGGGUAAAGGCCUACCAAGGCGACGAUCUGUAGCGGGUCUGAGAGGAUGAUCCGCCACACUGGGACUGAGACACGGCCCAGACUCCUACGGGAGGCAGCAGUGGGGAAUAUUGGACAAUGGGGGGAACCCUGAUCCAGCCAUGCCGCGUGUGUGAAGAAGGCCUUAUGGUUGUAAAGCACUUUAAGCGAGGAGGAGGCUACUGAGACUAACACUCUUGGAUAGUGGACGUUACUCGCAGAAUAAGCACCGGCUAACUCUGUGCCAGCAGCCGCGGUAAUACAGAGGGUGCGAGCGUUAAUCGGAUUUACUGGGCGUAAAGCGUGCGUAGCGGCUUUUUAAGUCGGAUGUGAAAUCCCCGAGCUUAACUUGGGAAUUGCUUCGAUACUGGGAAGCUAGAGUAUGGGAGAGAUGGUAGAAUUCCGGUGUAGCGGUGAAAUGCGUAGAGAUCUGGAG